rnacentral:rRNA from 1 species
CUUGGGAGGGGCCUGCGUCCCAUCAGCUAGUUGGUAGGGUAACGGCUUACCAAGGCGAUGACGGGUAGGGGACCUGAGAGGGUGACCCCCCACAAUGGAACUGAAACACGGUCCAUACACCUACGGGUGGCAGCAGUAGGGGAUAUUGGGUAAUGGGCGAAAGCCUGAACCAGCAACGCCGCGUGUGCGAUGAAGGCCUUCGGGUUGUAAAGCACUUUUGACUGGGACGAGGAAGGACGGUACCAGUGGAAUAAGCCUCGGCUAACUACGUGCCAGCAGCCGCGGUAAAACGUAGGAGGCGAGCGUUAUCCGGAUCUACUGGGUGUAAAGCGCAUCAGGCGGUUGGCUAAGUUGGGUGUGAAAGCUCCUGGCUCAACUGGGAGAGGUCGCUCAAGACUGGCGAACUAGAGGACGGUAAGGGGAAGCGGAAUUCCGGGUGUAGUGGUGAAAUGCGUAGAUAUCCGGAGAACACCAGUGGCGAAGGGGCUUUCUGGACCGCACCUGACGCUCAGAUGCGAAAGUAGGGUAGCAAACGGGAUUAGAGACCCCGGUAGUCCUAGCUGUAAACGAUGUGAACUUGGCGGCGGGNGGGNAAACUGCUCGGUGCCGAAGCCAACGCGAUAAGUCACCACCUGGGGACUACGGCCGCAAG